UUAUUAAUGAAUUCGCUUGGAUUUAUAUAUAUAUAUAAACGUAUUCAUCCUAUCUGUUUUAUAGUACAAUUACGAGGCCCGUGGAAGAUAGAAAUCACUAGCCAAGAUGAAACUAACAAACUUUCUCGUGAUCUUGAUGGUUGUAAUACUGGCAGUUUGUGCACAUGCUGCUCCAAAGAGUCGUGGGCUCCCUCAGUUCCCUGGCUAUGGAACAUUCAAUCCCAAAGGCAAACUGCCUGUGCCAUUUCCAAAAGGCUUCUGAUUUGACAACAAAUGUUAUAACGCAAGAAGAUACCGUUAAAUAACACUGACUUUUAUUCUCAAUUCGUAUGUAACAUCACGGUAAAUAGAAUAGAAAGAGCAUAAAAUAUUAUAAAUAUUUCAAA
rnacentral:lncRNA from 1 species